rnacentral:tRNA from 1 species
GUCGGCGGAUGUAGCCAAGUGGAUUAAGGCAGUGGAUUGUGAAUCCACCAUACGCGGGUUCAAUUCCC